rnacentral:rRNA from 1 species
UACGUAGGGCGCAAGCGUUAUCCGGAAUUAUUGGGCGUACAGAGCUCGUAGGCGGUUUGUCGCGUCUGCCGUGAAAGUCCGGGGCUCAACUCCGGAUCUGCGGUGGGUACGGGCAGACUAGAGUGAUGUAGGGGAGACUGGAAUUCCUGGUGUAGCGGUGGAAUGCGCAGAUAUCAGGAGGAACACCGAUGGCGAAGGCAGAUCUCUGGGCCGUAACUGACGCUGAGGAGCGAAAGCAUGGGGGAGCGAACAGG